rnacentral:rRNA from 1 species
ACGAACGCUGGCGGCAGGCCUCACACAUGCAAGUCGAGCGCCCUUUCGGGGGAGCGGCGGACGGGUGAGUAACGCGUGGGAAUAUGCCCUUCUCUACGGAAUAGCCUCGGGAAACUGAGAGUAAUACCGUAUACGCCCUGUGGGGGAAAGAUUUAUCGGGGAAGGAUUAGCCCGCGUUGGUUUAGGUAGUUGGUGGGGUAAUGGCCUACCAAGCCGACGAUCCAUAGCUGGUUUGAGAGGAUGAUCAGCCACACUGGGACUGAGACACGGCCCAGACUCCUACGGGAGGCAGCAGUGGGGAAUCUUAGACAAUGGGGGCAACCCUGAUCUAGCCAUGCCGCGUGAGUGAUGAAGGCCUUAGGGUUGUAAAGCUCUUUCAGCUGGGAAGAUAAUGACGGUACCAGCAGAAGAAGCCCCGGCUAACUCCGUG